GAAAUACUCCCUCCAUUCGGAAUUACUCGUCCAAAAAAUAAAUGUAUCUAGAUAUAUUUUAGUUGUAGAUACAUUCAUUUUUAUGAUAAGUAAUUCCGAAUGAAGGGAGUAGUAG
rnacentral:pre_miRNA from 1 species